CGGGGGGCAAGUGGAAAGCAUCAGCUUGACCUCUCAGUUCAUCACUUAUGUCUAAUCCAUAGUGGCAAUAGGUCUGAUUUCAAACCCGUAUAGGCUAUAGCUCACACUGCUUACACCAGGUCAAUUUUUGCAACCCAAAACAGAAUGCGAGAGACAAUCAACAUUACUAACGCUAGCAUAAGAAACCUUUGAUGCCCAACAACCACUACCGGAUUAGAUCAACCCAUCAAUAACCUUUUACAGGAUAAUACAGCAUGACAUCCAACCUCAAGAAACCAAAACAUUGUGUAUCAAACAUCAACAACAGAUCUACAUACUGAAC
rnacentral:misc_RNA from 1 species